rnacentral:lncRNA from 1 species
UUGCUAGCAGGUGCUAGUAUGUGGACACAUCUAAUAUAUUAGGUUGUAGUGACCUUGUGAGGUAGGAUGGAAUGUGACAAGACUUGUCUACAGGCCAGGGCUGUGAGCUGUGGUCCUUGUGAACUGCUGCCGAUGGGAUAGCUCCACUUUUUCACUGCCCAGCGCAGCCCUACUGAAGAGUAUGGCUGAGGGAUGCUGCUGUGUAUGAAGUGUAAGCUAAGGGUAGGCAGUUCUGAAUAAUCCUGCCUGAUAACCUACUUACUCCCAGUGCCCAAGUACAUCCGAUGCUGCGACUUCUUGGACAAAACAAAAACUUUCUGCUGACUAAUGUCUCCACUUUGCCCCAACCUGCUGGAUGCUCUGGAAAGGAGUGAGUGAAGAGCAAAUGGCUGGCAUCAAGUUAUUUUUGAAGACAGAAGAAAUGAGAACUGUUACGAUUUCAGGGGCUUUAGGGGCAAGCCAAACUGGUUUGGGCUGCUGCAAAUGUUGCCUCAGCUUCUGCUCAGCUGUCAGAUUAAUGAUACCUACUCUAGCAAUGCCAACUACCAAACCCCAUGGCAUUUGGCAGUUAUGAACCAUACAGAUUUUGAUUAUAAAGACUCUUUAUCUUUUAAAUAAUAAUUUAAGAA